GUCCCUGUAGCGUCAUGAAUAUCACGUUGGACUUUUAAUCCAGAGGUCGUGGGUUCGAGUCCUACCUGGGAUG